rnacentral:rRNA from 1 species
GACGCACGCUGGCGGCGUGCUUAACACAUGCAAGUCGAACGGAAAGGCCCUGCUUUUGUGGGGUGCUCGAGUGGCGAACGGGUGCGUAACACGUGAGUAACCUGCCCUUGACUUUGGGAUAACUUCAGGAAACUGGGGCUAAUACCGGAUAGGAGCUCCUGCUGCAUGGUGGGGGUUGGAAAGUUUCGGCGGUUGGGGAUGGACUCGCGGCUUAUCAGCUUGUUGGUGGGGUAGUGGCUUACCAAGGCUUUGACGGGUAGCCGGCCUGAGAGGGUGACCGGCCACAUUGGGACUGAGAUACGGCCCAGACUCCUACGGGAGGCAGCAGUGGGGAAUAUUGCACAAUGGGCGGAAGCCUGAUGCAGCAACGCCGCGUGCGGGAUGACGGCCGUCGGGUUGUAAACCGCUUUCGCCUGUGACGAAGCGUGAGUGACGGUAAUGGGUAAAGGAGCACCGGCUAACUACGUG